GCCCCAGCUAGGAUGAGCUCUGUGAGGGGCCUGGUUCUGCCCCUUCUUUUCUUUUGCUGGGAGAAUGGAGUCUUGGGAAGUUCUGCAGAUGACAGCUCAGAAGAGACAAAGAGGAUGGUGGCUGGCAGCUGGACAUCGACCCAAAUCUCCCCAGAAGCUGAGAGCUUGUCCUCAGAGAGCAGUUCCUCUGCAGACAGCUCAGUCUCCGUCAAUACCACCUCACACAUCCUGUCACCUGACGCGGCAACUAGGCCCAAGGCCUUAGUGGCAUAUAGCAUAACUCACAUUGAGUUCACCAGGGGCAGCGUCAUGAAGAUAGAAACAGUUGCCACCAUCUCUGGGACCUCAGAGAUAGAAUAUAGCCCCACAGGAGUGCAGGCCGAGCCCACCUCUGAGACAUCAGCUCUGUCCACCUCCACUGAGGCCAAGUCACACAUCCCCAAGAUCACAGCCUCUGCUGAGACCUUGUCAACAGCCAGCACCUCAGAGUCAGCCUCCCCUGACUCCACCCCCGAGGCCCCACUGCCCACCAGUGGCACCACAGAGAGAGAAACAGCAGCAGCCCAGACCCCCACCCCCACCCCCAGUGGAACCUUGGUGGCAGGUGGCACCAGCCCCUGGGAGGAAACCUCAGCCCUCUCUGCUGGGACAACACGCCACUUGGAGGUCUCAGGACCUGGUACACGCUCCACGGAUGCUGGGUCAAUGGUGGGCACAGUGACUUCCUCUGCUGGGCCCAGAGCCUCCGUCUACAGCUCCUCAGAGGCAGCCACCAUCCAGGUCUCCACCCCCUCAGAGACUUUUGCCACAGAGGGCACAACCACGGGGUCCUUCCCCACCAGCAGGAGCCCUCUGCCUUCUGCCCAUCCCUCUAUAGCCAGUAGCAGCCAAGAGACACACUUCACCUUCAGCAAGGCCACAGCCCCACCAGAGUCCCCAACAGCCACUCCCACCACUGCUCAGACAAGGCAGACCACAGAAGUCCCUGCAGGUAAGUGACUUCCCUGUGUGAUCCUUGGGAUUGGGGGCUCGGGGUC
rnacentral:lncRNA from 1 species